AUUGAACGCUGGCGGCAGGCUUAACACAUGCAAGUCGAGCGGAGAUGAGGUGCUUGCACCUUAUCUUAGCGGCGGACGGGUGAGUAAUGCUUAGGAAUCUGCCUAUUAGUGGGGGACAACAUUCCGAAAGGAAUGCUAAUACCGCAUACGUCCUACGGGAGAAAGCAGGGGAUCUUCGGACCUUGCGCUAAUAGAUGAGCCUAAGUCGGAUUAGCUAGUUGGUGGGGUAAAGGCCUACCAAGGCGACGAUCUGUAGCGGGUCUGAGAGGAUGGUCCGCCACACUGGGACUGAGACACGGCCCAGACUCCUACGGGAGGCAGCAGUGGGGAAUAUUGGACAAUGGGGGGAACCCUGAUCCAGCCAUGCCGCGUGUGUGAAGAAGGCCUUAUGGAUGUAAAGCACUUUAAGCGAGGAGGAGGCUACUGAGACUAAUACUCUUGGAUAGUGGACGUUACUCGCAGAAUAAGCACCGGCUAACUCUGUGCCAGCCGCCGCAGUAAUAC
rnacentral:rRNA from 1 species